rnacentral:rRNA from 1 species
GUGGGGAAUAUUGGACAAUGGGCGAAAGCCUGAUCCAGCCAUGCCGCGUGUGUGAAGAAGGUCUUCGGAUUGUAAAGCACUUUAAGUUGGGAGGAAGGGUAGUAACCUAAUACCUUGCUGUUUUUACGUUACCGACAGAAUAAGCACCGGCUAACUUCGUGCCAGCAGCCGCGGUAAUACGAAGGGUGCAAGCGUUAAUCGGAAUUACUGCGCGUAAAGCGCGCGUAGGUGGUUUUGUAAGUUGGAGGUGAAAUCCCCGGGCUCAACCUGGGAACUGCCUACAGAACUGCAUGACUAGAGUACGGUAGAGGGUAGUGGAAUUUCCUGUGUAGCGGUGAAAUGCGUAGAUAUAGGAAGGAACACCAGUGGCGAAGGCGACUACCUGGACUGAUACUGACACUGAGGUGCGAAAGCGUGGGGAGCAAACAGGAUUAGAUACCCGGGUAGUCC